rnacentral:lncRNA from 1 species
CUGUGUUUGUCUGUCUGAUAAAGGGAAAUUUAUUUUCAUUCAUUUUUCAAGUGUUCCACAAUUCUGGCUCCAUUUGCAUUAUUGUCCUGUAGGUUAUUCUGACACUUUGAGUGUACUUGUCUUUCUCACAAGCCAGGACAUCCAGAGUGAUGAACUCCACAGUAGCAUUGAAAGAAAAGAAAACCACUUCAGAAAUACAUGACAGGGAUGAGUAAGCAAGCCUUCCUGGUUGUUGAUCUGUGAUAUACUCAGCAAUUCCAGCAGAGGAAAUAUUUAUUUUAGAAGGGUGCGUAGUUUCCGCUGGGUUUUCACUCCAGCACUAAAACCUGGUGCUGAAAGCUUUAAUGAUCAGAUGAUUUUCUUUCCCCUUUGAGUCAAAGAAGUGACUUUUGCUGUGUGCUUUACCUGCUAAAGCAAACAGCAAGUGCUGUUUGGUAUAUUUCAGGGGCUGAGCAGGAAAUUUCUCGCAACGUGCAGUGACAGCACAAAGCAUUUGCCUCUCUUGCAAGUUAGCAACAUGGAUAAAUAGAAGAGCAGAUUGGCUGGGUCACAGUGCAAGCUGCCAGUCCUUUUUUAUGAAGAUAACCUUCAAAAUGCCUUCAAACUCACUACUGCUGAAAGUCUGUCAAGAUGAAUAUUCCAUUACUUGGCUAUCAGGAACAAAGAAGACAUAAACCAUAAAGCUCAGUCCAUUGGACUUCUCCUACGUGCCUGCUCUUCUGAGGACCCCUUCUGGGCUGGGCUAAGAAGUGAAGCAGGUGGGGAUGAGAAGCUCACCCCACAAAGGAGAACAGG